UACGUAGGGGGCAAGCGUUGUCCGGAUUUACUGGGUGUAAAGGGCGCGUAGGCGGGUCUGUUAGUCAGAGGUGAAAUCCUACGGCUCAACCGUAGAACUGCCUUUGAUACUGCAGAUCUUGAGUAUGGAAGAGAGUGACGGAAUUCCAGGUGUAGUGGUGAAAUACGUAGAUAUCUGGAAGAACACCAGUGGCGAAGGCGGUCACUUGGUCCAUUACUGACGCUGAGGCG
rnacentral:rRNA from 1 species